UGAGGAAUAUUGGGCAAUGCCCGAAAGGGUGACCCAGCAACGCCGCGUGGAGGAUGAAUGCCGUAAGGUUGUAAACUCCUGUUAGAGGGGAAGAAAAAUCUCGAUCAAAUCGAGAACUGACUGUACCCUCAGAGAAAGCCCCGGCUAACUACGUGCCAGCAGCCGCGGUAAUACGUAGGGGGCAAGCGUUGUCCGGAUUCACUGGGUGUAAAGGGCGCGCAGGCGGGUUAGCAAGUCAGAGGUGAAAUCCUACAGCUUAACUGUAGAACUGCCUUUGAGACUGCUAAUCUUGAGUACGGAAGAGAGAGAUGGAAUUCCAGGUGUAGUGGUGAAAUACGUAGAUAUCUGGAAGAACACCAGUGGCGAAGGCGGUCUCUUGGUCCAUUACUGACGCUAAGGCGCGAAAGCGUGGGGAGCAAACAGG
rnacentral:rRNA from 1 species